rnacentral:sRNA from 1 species
CUCCAUUUCUCUGCCCUUCUCUCCUCUCGCCAUUCCCCCCUGGAUUUGAAUGUCGAUACAGCCAACAGUCAUUGGCAGGCUAUAAAGAGAGAGCUGCAGGCUCUGAAUUAUAUCUGAUGAUGAAAAAUCACCAAUCUCUCCUUUUCAGACAUCUGGAGCCGUCGAACGUGCUCAGCAGAAUGAAGAUGCGAUGUCCGAAUCUUCGUUUGACAUACAGGAUUUAUUCACCCAGCACUCUUUCCCCGUCUGGCAAACUCACGCUCCCUUGAACCGGGUACUGCUGCACACAAUUUUUCCCCUCCUCCCCACUAACUUGUGGUUGUAAUCAGAAGGAGGAAAGUAGAGCAUGGGAUUAGGAGUUGAUUCUUCAUACUGGGACAUCCGUGAGAUUACCAUACGAUGUUGCUGGAAAUCUCGAACAGGACGGCGAUACUCCAUUCUUGUAGGUGCUCUGGAGGUGCUUCACCAGCCUUGUUAGUGUUCCAAGACAGAUUCCGUGCCUCGCCAGUAGAUACUGCGCGGGAGUGGAAGAUGGCAAAUGUCAGACUUGAUAAAGCCAGAAGAAAAUAUAAUAGUGGAGUACUGUUCAUGUCACUGUGCGGAUCUCUAUAUGUACUGGUUUAUGAUAGAAUAAAGCAAGAGUGUCCAUCUCUACUUUUCGUUACUGGGAUGCUGCACAGAUACAAAAACUAUCUACUAAUCAAGGAUGUCGUCGUCUCGCCUCGUUUCUUCUAAUUGUAACUCUCUCA